rnacentral:rRNA from 1 species
GAUGAACGCUGGCGGCGUGCUUAACACAUGCAAGUCGAACGAUGAUGCCCAGCUUGCUGGGUGGAUUAGUGGCGAACGGGUGAGUAACACGUGAGUAACCUGCCCUUGACCCUGGGAUAAGCCUGGGAAACUGGGUCUAAUACCGGAUACGACCAUCUGGCGCAUGUCAUGGUGGUGGAAAGCUUUUGUGGUUUUGGAUGGACUCGCGGCCUAUCAGCUUGUUGGUGGGGUAAUGGCCUACCAAGGCGACGACGGGUAGCCGGCCUGAGAGGGUGACCGGCCACACUGGGACUGAGACACGGCCCAGACUCCUACGGGAGGCAGCAGUGGGGAAUAUUGCACAAUGGGCGCAAGCCUGAUGCAGCGACGCCGCGUGAGGGAUGACGGCCUUCGGGUUGUAAACCUCUUUCAGUAGGGAAGAAGCGAAAGUGACGGUACCUGCAGAAGAAGCGCCGGCUAACUACGUG